ACAUCAUUUAAUUAAACCACCUUAUCAUCCUUAUCCCUUCCCCGAUCAUAAAAUUACAAAACAAAAUUUUUUCCCUUUCUUUAAAUCCACCAAAAAAAAGAAUAAAAAGAGAAGAAAAUAAGAAUAGGGAGGAAAGGGAUAAAUGAGAGGGGAAAAGAGAGAGAGAGAGCAUCAGGAUGAUUGGCGUGGUAGAGGGAAGAAAAAGAUUUAAGAAGCGACACCGCGGGUGGCCUAACCAUUGUGUGAUCAUCCCUCUCAUGUAAGUUCUUCUUUUGAAUGUCCAAAUGGGAGUUCUUUUUCUUCUUCUUUUGUGAUUCUCUUCCUAAAUAGUUUAGACUGGCAUCAUGACGUUUAAAAUAAAUACACCUUAGGUUUGCUUGAUUUUAAAUGAAAAACUUAAACUUAAAUAGAAAGAUGGUCAGAGUUUGGUGUAGUAAGAGGAUGACAAAAAUUAAGUUAUAUCUAUAUAUAUGUAUAUAUAUUUAUUUAGGAUAUAUAUGGUGUAUAUAUAUGUAUACAUAUUAUGCAUAUUAAUUAUAAUGAAUUUGUGAAAAUAUAUUUAUUUGCAAGAAUUUGAUAUAAAUGUAUAAAGGGAAACAAAAAAAAAAUAUAUAUAAAUAUAUAGAUACACUAUGUAUGUAUAUUUUUCAUGUGUGUAUGUAUAAAUAGAUAUACAUAUAAUUAUGUAUAAAUAAAUGCAUGUAUGGGUAUAUAUGAUUAAAAUAAUAUUUCGUAUGCAUGUAUAAUCCUUAUCUUUAUAUGAGUAUUUAUAUGUGUAAACAAUAAUGCAUGAAGGAAUAUACAUAUUUAAAUAACAAUAAUAAACUUUAUAAUUAUAGUCAUAAAAUUUACAAUAUGGUGUAAGUUAUAAGAUUAGAAGAAUAUGAUAAAUAUAUAAAUUUAGAUUAAAAAAAUUUUUGUGUAUAUAUAUAUGGGAGAAGAACAAAGAAAUUAAAGUUUAAUUAAGAAUUAGUUAAAUUGUGAUAGUUAGGAGAGUUGAGUUUAAUUGAACAUGAAAUUAAGGAGAAUUUAAAUUGAUGAAUAAAUAAUCAAUAAGAAUUAGAUUUAUAAUUGAUAAGUAGAUUAAAUUAGCCAUAAUCUAUAAUACAUAGGUAAAAGGAAUAAAUUUUGGAAAUCAUUUUGAUUUAAUAAAUAUGUUAACAAAUUAAUAAAUUUUAUUUUGAAUAAAAAAGAUGAUAUAAGAAAAUAAUUUAAGAAAAUAAGAAAAGAAUAUUUGUAAUGAUUUCUUUUAGAAUUGAAUGAAUAAUGGAUAAAAUAAAUUAAAAAGAAAUUAUUAAUUAAAGCAAGAUUAAUAUAAAACGAUAAGAAAGUAUUAUUCAUGAAAUUAUAUAAUUAAUCAAAUAGACAAAACAAAGAAAAGUUAAAUUGAAUGAUCACUUUGGUAACUAGAAUAGUUGUAGAAAUGAGAUACGUA
rnacentral:lncRNA from 1 species